UAAAGUUGAAUAGCUCCUUCCUAGACACUGGCUUUCAGAAACUCGUUUACAUGGAUGAUAGACAUAAGCUUCAUAUUUUCUAUAAGAAGUUCUUGGCACAGAAGUAGCUGCUGAAGCACGAGGUGAAAUGUGGAAAGGUUGUGUGGUUCAAAUCAUUGGUGGGAAUGAACAAGGUUUUUGCACAAAGCGAGGCAUCUUGAUCCAUGGCAGAGUGUGCCCGCUGUUGAGUAAGGGACCUUCUUACUGCAGAACAAGGAGUUCUGGAGAGAGGGAGCACAAGUCUCUUCAUAAAGGCAUUGUGGACACCAAACUGAGUGUUCUCAACUUGGUUAUUAUGGAAAGGGACAGAUAGUACCAUGCUUCAGUGGUUGAGGCCCAAAAGAGCUAGUAGAACCUGAAAACUUUUCAAUCUCUCUAAAGAAGAUAAUGUAUACCAAUAUGUUGUCAUGAAAUCCUUAAACAAAGAAUAAAAAGCCCAGGACCCAAGUACCCAAUAUCCAAUGACUUGUUACUUCACAUUCCCUGCAAUACAAACAUUAGUAUAAUGAUAUGGAGACAUGACACAUUAAGGAAAACCAGGAGGAGGCUGUAGAUGAUGGUGAACCAUUAGCCAAGAGAUUAAGAGACAAAUCCUAUGAACAGAUUGCUAAGAGAUAUAGGCU
rnacentral:lncRNA from 1 species